rnacentral:rRNA from 1 species
CGGUCCUAAGGUAGCGAAAUUCCUUGUCGGGUAAGUUCCGACCCGCACGAAAGGCGUAACGAUUUGGGCACUGUCUCAACGAGAGACUCGGUGAAAUCAUAGUACCUGUGAAGAUGCAGGUUACCCGCGACAGGACGGAAAGACCCCGUGGAGCUUUACUGUAGCCUGAUAUUGAAAUUCGGCACAGCUUGUACAGGAUAGGUAGGAGCCUUUGAAACGUGAGCGCUAGCUUACGUGGAGGCGCUGGUGGGAUACUACCCUAGCUGUGUUGGCUUUCUAACCCGCACCACUUAUCGUGGUGGGAGACAGUGUCAAGCGGGCAGUUUGACUGGGGCGGUCGCCUCCUAAAAGGUAACGGAGGCGCUCAAAGGUUCCCUCAGAAUGGUUGGAAAUCAUUCAUAGAGUGUAAAGGCAUAAGGGAGCUUGACUGCGAGACCUACAAGUCGAGCAGGGUCGAAAGACGGACUUAGUGAUCCGGUGGUUCCGCAUGGAAGGGCCAUCGCUCAACGGAUAAAAGCUACCCCGGGGAUAACAGGCUUAUCUCCCCCAAGAGUUCACAUCGACGGGGAGGUUUGGCACCUCGAUGUCGGCUCAUCGCAUCCUGGGGCUGUAGUCGGUCCCAAGGGUUGGGCUGUUCGCCCAUUAAAGCGGUACGCGAGCUGGGUUCAGAACGUCGUGAGACAGUUCGGUCCCUAUCCGUCGUGGGCGUAGGAAAUUUGAGAGGAGCUGUCCUUAGUACGAGAGGACCGGGAUGGACAUACCUCUGGUGUACCAGUUGUCGUGCCAACGGCAUAGCUGGGUAGCUAUGUGUGGACGGGAUAAGUGCUGAAAGCAUCUAAGCAUGAAGCCCCCCUCAAGAUGAGAUUUCCCAACUUCGGUUAUAAGAUCCCUCAAAGAUGAUGAGGUUAAUAGGUUCGAGGUGGAAGCAUGGUGACAUGUGGAGCUGACGAAUACUAAUCGAUCGAAGACUUAAUCAAAA